rnacentral:rRNA from 1 species
ACGCUCGACACCUACGGGAUGCAGCAGUGGGGAAUAUUGCACAAUGGGGGAAACCCUGAUGCAGCAACGCCGCGUGAAGGAAGACGGUUUUCGGAUUGUAAACUUCUGUUCUUAGUGAAGAUAGUGACGGUAGCUAAGGAGCAAGCCACGGCUAACUACGUGCCAGCAGCCGUGGUAAUCUGAGCGGGCUGGCAAGGC